rnacentral:lncRNA from 1 species
AGAGCAUCAACAGAAUAGGGAAGGGGGAAAAUUAUCUCUAAAAGCUUAUGCAUCAUUCUCUUAAAAUGUUAAUGUCCCAUUUCCAGCUGAACAAAUAAGCCUCUACUACUUGGAUGCAACUAGUCCUAAUGAAUGUGAGUGCCAGGCUCAAAAAUAACCCGCUUUUGAUUGCAGAAAGCAUCUUUCACAAGGAAAAAAAAAUUAAGUCAUUAUUUAAAAAUUGUUCCAUUAGUGUACCAUGAACAAAGGACAGUGAGCUUGAAAAAAUGAAACAGCUUUUAUUUUUGAGCACUUUAUUUUCAGUGGGAUUAUAAACAAGAUUCUCAUGAAACUCUUCAAACACAACAUGAGGAUGAAAUAUUGAGUUGCUUUGGUCCGCUUAUUGUCUGCCAGAAUUGGUUUUGUUUUGCUUCCUUAAUUCAGUUGCAAGUUGUUUUCUUGUUGUUGAGUAGGGGAAAUGAAGGGGCAUCUGGAUACUCUUCUGCUCUACCGGUUGCAAUACGAAGAGGAGUUAAAGCAACUAGAAGGAGGUGUCAGUAACCAAGCUAAGAGAGGCUGGAAGAAAAACUAUUCAUGCAGCAGCAAAGAAGGCCUUUUGAGCAUUGUGAUGUCAGAAGGUGACUUGGAAGAUUAUCUAAAUAUUAAUCUGGCAGUGUGGGGAACAAAGAGGUAUCAUACCCAUCCUAAUGCCAUACUGAAGACACUUUAA